UACGUAGGGUGCAAGCGUUAAUCGGAAUACUGGGCGUAAAGCGUGCGCAGGCGGCUAUGCAAGACAGAUGUGAAAUCCCCGGGCUCAACCUGGGAACUGCAUUUGUGACUGCAUGGCUAGAGUGCGGCAGGAGGGGGAUGGAAUUCCGCGUGCUAGCAGUGAAAUGCGUAGAUAUGCGGAGGAACACCGAUGGCGAAGGCAAUCCCCUGGGCCUGCACUGACGGCUCGAUGCACGAAGCGUGGGGAGCAAACAGG
rnacentral:rRNA from 1 species